AAACAGCACUCUGGAGAGACCUGGGGUCCGCCGCAUGGCGUGGAUUACCCAGGCGCCGAAGGUGCAAACCCGCGACGUUGCGGGGCAACUCUCAGGCAAAAGGACAGAGGGGCGGAA
rnacentral:ncRNA from 1 species